rnacentral:rRNA from 1 species
UACGAAGGGGGGCUAGCGUUGUUCGGAUUUACUGGGCGUAAAGCGCACGUAGGCGGAUCGUUAAGUCGGGGGGUGAAAUCCUGGAGCUCAACUCCAGAACUGCCUUCGAUACUGGCGAUCUUGAGUCCGGAAGAGGUGAGUGGAAUUCCUAGUGUAGAGGUGGAAUUCGUAGAUAUUAGGAAGAACACCAGUGGCGAAGGCGGCUCACUGGUCCGGUACUGACGCUGAGGUGCGAAAGCGUGGGGAGCAAACAGGG